rnacentral:rRNA from 1 species
ACGCUCGACACCUACGGGGGGCAGCAGUGGGGAAUAUUGCACAAUGGGGGAAACCCUGAUGCAGCGACGCCGCGUGAAGGAAGAAGUAUUUCGGUAUGUAAACUUCUAUCAGCAGGGAAGAAGAUGACGGUACCUGAGUAAGAAGCACCGGCUAAAUACGUGCCUGCAGCCGCGGUAAUCUGAGCGGGCUGGCAAGGC